AGUAAAGAAGAGAGAGAGAAGAAGGAGAGAGAAGGAAAGAAGAAGGAAGAAAUGGGGAAGAAGAUGAUUGUUGUGCGUCGCCGGGGUCAGACCUCUUGAAUCCGAAACCGGAUUAGUGACCCUCAUCAUGAGAUCUACGUUUUGAGGAUUUUGAGGAAGAACUUACAAGAUUUGUGAAGCAUUUGUUGAUCUCUUGAGCUAAAGAGAAGAUUUGAGGUUUUUGAAGUGUUCUUGAGCAAAGAGGUUGUACUAGAAACUCGCGUCAUCACAUGCCAAAUCUUCCUCGUAUUAAGGGUGAUCAUUGUAUACAAUUAGUUGUUUUUCGAGGAACCGGGUCUACUCAGUUUGCAAUUCAAUUGUUUGGCUUCUCUCCUUGACCAAUGGCAUUGAAAACUUCGUCUCACUUUGAGGCUGUCCAUGUCAAGAUGUGUUACUAGAACC